rnacentral:lncRNA from 1 species
AUUUGUAGAGACUCACGGCGAAGAUGAACGGUGUGCAGGGUGCAGAGACUCAAGAUUCGUAAUCGUGCAGGGUUUUGGACUUUUGGUUGGAAACUAAAAAGAUGAUUGUUGUGGUGGCAGCUUUGGUUAAACAGUCCUUUGCACUUCCUCUUCUGUGAAUGAGAGUUUUGGGCAAACAAAUUUUUUUUUGUUGUUGUGUUGAUUGUAGUUGUAGUAUUUUUAUGGAAUCUUAUUAAAAAUGUA